rnacentral:sRNA from 1 species
UUUUAAUUUGCGUUAGGGAUUGCAGUGGAAAUCCUUUUUUGUUUUUUCUUUAAAAACAAAAAAGAUUGAAACGAAAAGCCCGACCCCUU